AACCACCCACUUCGGAGCUGACAGGAGCAAACUUCAAUCACUCAGACUUCCUGCGCUUCAUCCCUCAUGAGAGGGAGCACACAGGUCCCCACCUGUCCCAUGCAGGUCCUACAUUAGAGCUGCAGCCUCAUGGCUACCUCUUAAUUAACUGCCUCUGUGACUAAUUUCAGAAAAACAAUCAGUUGUCAGCAGACCUGCAUGAUAA
rnacentral:lncRNA from 1 species